rnacentral:misc_RNA from 1 species
GAUGAAGAACGUGGCGAAAUGCGAUAAGUAAUGUGAAUUGCAGAAUUCAGUGAAUCAUCGAAUCUUUGAACGCACAUUGCGCCCCCUGGUAUUCCGGGGGGCAUGCCUGUUCGAGCGUCAUUUCACCACUCAAGCCUCGCUUGGUAUUGGGCAACGCGGUCCGCCGCGUGCCUCAAAUCGACCGGCUGGGUCUUCUGUCCCCUAAGCGUUGUGGAAACUUUCGCUAAAGGGUGUUCGGGAGGCUACGCCGUAAAACAACCCCAUUUCUAAGGUUGACCUCGGAUCAGGUAGGGAUACCCGCUGAACUUAAGCAUAUCAAUAAGCGGAGGA